rnacentral:rRNA from 1 species
UUUCCGUAGGUGAACCUGCGGAAGGAUCAUUACCGAGUGCGGGCCCCUCGGGGCCCAACCUCCCACCCGUGUUGCCCGAACCUAUGUUGCCUCGGCGGGCCCCGCGCCCGCCGACGGCCCCCCUGAACGCUGUCUGAAGUUGCAGUCUGAGACCUAUAACGAAAUUAGUUAAAACUUUCAACAACGGAUCUCUUGGUUCCGGCAUCGAUGAAGAACGCAGCGAAAUGCGAUAACUAAUGUGAAUUGCAGAAUUCAGUGAAUCAUCGAGUCUUUGAACGCACAUUGCGCCCUCUGGUAUUCCGGAGGGCAUGCCUGUCCGAGCGUCAUUGCUGCCCUCAAGCCCGGCUUGUGUGUUGGGCCCCGUCCCCCCCGCCGGGGGGACGGGCCCGAAAGGCAGCGGCGGCACCGCGUCCGGUCCUCGAGCGUAUGGGGCUUCGUCACCCGCUCUAGUAGGCCCGGCCGGCGCCAGCCGACCCCCAACCUUUAAUUAUCUCAGGUUGACCUCGGAUCAGGUAGGGAUACCCGCUGAACUUAAGCAU